UCUUCUAUUUAUUUUAUCUGAAACAACGCAGCCCAAAAUCCUCCAAUCUGUCUUCUAUUUCUUCUUCUUCAUCGCCCAAAUCUCAAAUAAACCCUUCAAAGCCUCAUAAAUCUCCCCUCAAAGCCUUCCUCUGCAUCUCCAACAUCCCCAACCACCGCCUGUUUUCCAUUCCCAAGAUUUUGCCUCUUAAACCGUUUACAAGGUUUAGGUUGGCGUUCACAAUGUCUGAGUAUUGGUGGUAUACACUAUUUUUUGGCAUGCCGACAAAUUGGCGAUUGAGACGAAUCAAGUUUCAAGGACUAAGACAGUUUCAAUGGGGAGACGCUAUGUUGUAUUUGCUUAAUGGGUUUUGGCCAGAAUCAUAUCGGCGUCGGGUAGAUGAUAUGGUCAUAGCUGAUUGAUUGUGUUAUGUGGAAUCUACAACUGUAUAGGAACCUUGCUCUUCUAUAGUUUUAGAGUUAAGAUGAGGACAGGUUCCAUGUGCUUUUCCAUCUUGCAAGUUCCUAGAUGCAGAAUCUGCACAUUAGCUACUUUUUGGAGGGAAAGCUUCCACAGUUUGAGUAGGACUGACAAAAAUAGUUCUAUCUUUAGGCUACUUGGUUCUAAUAUCUAUGGGCUUGAGAGAGGUUACAUUAGGAAAUGGACUCGAAGUCCUGUAUUUACAAACACAGAGGAAGGAAAUAAAACCACCUAGCAAAGUAAACCAAGCAACAUUGGGCAUGAAAUUUUAGAUUGAGUGGUUUCAAAAAGUGAUACAUUUAGUGUAAAUAAGAUAGAGAUUAGUCAAUUCCACAAUACUGAAUACUGUGAAUCAUAA